rnacentral:rRNA from 1 species
CCGAUGGCGGGGGAUAACUACUGGAAACGGUAGCUAAUACCGCAUAACGUCGCAAGACCAAAGAGGGGGACCUUAGGGCCUCUUGCCAUCGGAUGUGCCCAGAUGGGAUUAGCUAGUAGGUGGGGUAAUGGCUCACCUAGGCGACGAUCCCUAGCUGGUCUGAGAGGAUGAUCAGCCACACUGGGACUGAGACACGGCCCAG